CCACACUUUAGCAAGUACUAGUGUCUAGCGUUACAGAGUUGAUCAAUUUCAGCUUCUCGGCUAGGUAGAAAUCGGGCAAAAUUAUGUCAUUUUUGUACCGUCUGCUUGGUUUUACGGUGGAAUCUUGCUAGCAUUUAGGAGAUUGGACAAUUUUAGGAUUUACUAGGAGUUUUGUUAGCCUGGGGAAGUUGCAGCUAUUGUUCCAUGGAACUAUCCUGCCAAUUAUGCAGAUAUAGGGG
rnacentral:lncRNA from 1 species